UUCAAAAUCUUGGUCAUGCAGGAGGAGCCAGAGGGAAAGAAAUAGCUGGGCGGUUAGAAAUGUGGCUUCAGCAAGACCACGGCGUUUGCUCUGGGCAUUGAAUGACAAGAUGAUUUGAAAUACGCAGAGAAGCUGGAGGCUGCUUAAGGAAAAGUAUGAGCCAAGUUUCCAAAUCUGGAAAGCACAGCCGGUCAUCGGCUCUUCCCAGAGCCUGGCCAAUGCUUCGCUGAGAAGGCCUCGCAGCAGCCCCCGAGGAUGAAGGAGGUGGGGGUCCUUGUGCUACUACUGUGACCUCUAGAAGAGAGAGGGCCAGGGCCCACCCACUACCCCCCAGCCCACCGCAGCCAGAUCCUGCGAAACUCCAGGCCUGGGCUGCCUUCAUCUUUAUAAUGAAGCUUAAUUUAUACUCUGGAGCAGAGUGCUGUGUAAUGACAUACAUGGCCAUACGCUCGGGAAGGAGUGGCAGGUUAAAGACUCAAUUUCCUGGCCUCUCCAGCUUUGCGUCACCCUGCUUAAUGAUAUUUCAACAUUGAAAGUAUCCCAGUUGCGUCUUCUGAAGCUGAGUCUCCUGUUUUAUGGUUCAUCCAAAUGUGCAGUGCUCAUCUGACUCGCUCAUCACCAUGCAGUGGGGCUGCAUGGAUGAAGCUAAUUUGUGCCGGGCCUAUUUGGAAGCUGGUGUUCCCGUCAUGAAGACUCAGAGGUAGGGCACUCAACUGAGUGAACUCUAGGUAGGAAAGAACAGUGACCACAGAAACGUAGUGUCUCUCUGAAGCUGGAAAUUUGAUCCCAGGUGAAAGCAACCCAGCAGCUGACUACUCAAUGUCUACUGUGUAGUUCCAAGGUUUAGUUCAACUGACUGCAGAUCACCGAAACCUCAGCUAGACCCUGGUUCAAGGCUUUUGGUGGUAGAAGAAGUUAUGUGUGCAGGCUUCACUGUCAGAGAGACUUAGGCUUUGCUCUCCGCUCUUAUGCUCUCUAGCAGAGCCAUCUUGGAUGAAUUGCUGAACUUCACACCAUAAUCUGGAUGUGAUAAUGUUUACUAUACAGACUUCAGGUAAGGAUUUAAUUGAGAUCAUAGACAGAAAGCACUAAGUAAGCAUUCCCUAACCCAUGCUAAUGCACAAAACUUGUUGGUUACUAUGAUUACAAAAGCUGCCACAACAUCUCUCUUGAAGCUUAUAGUGUAAGGGGAAAAGGGGUGCCGGGCACAAAGUUCCUCUAAACAGAGUUGAGCAAUGCUUUUAAGAACUGUUGGAAAUAGAUUUUACUAUCCCCAUUCUUCCCAUGAGGACAUGAAAACCCCUAAAACCUAAAGUUUUGCUCAAGGCCACAUAGCUAAUCAUAGGGCCUGGAUGAAAAUCUGUGUCCGCUGGAACUGUCUCCCAUUAAAGGCCAUGAACUUUCCAUAACAUCAGCAGCCACUUCUGACUUCUCACUCUUCCACGGAGAGGCUGGACACUGGGGAACAUGUUGUUUCAACUAAUUUUACCUUUGUUAUCACAUUCAGUAAGUGGUAUUUAUGUUGGCUGUCCUUUAUGUCUCAUUUGAUUAGGCUUCAGGAGAACAAAUGAUAUAGUAGUCACAAGAAGACUUGAUAAAACAGGAUAUUCCUAUCUCAAUUUUUUUUUCUGGCUUUCUCUUGAUUUGAGGAGCCCAUAGGAAGAACAAAUAAAACCAAAGCAUGAGUGGGUAAAAGAAUGCCCAUCAGUAAAGCAGCAAACGAGCUUUGAGCUCUUUGGAGAAUUCCAUUAAUAAAAGUACUUUUGCACUUGCCACUGUUGACAGAGAUGGAGGACUUGGGUCUCCUAACACCGUCAAGCUGCACCUUUGUGUAACACAUCUAAUCCACUACAGAGGGACAACUUUCAACUGAUGCCUACAGUUUUUCCUUCUCUGAAGCUUAGUGACAUUCAUCGUUUUCUUCUCACAUUUUCUUUUAAAUGCCCCAGUGCAUGACUACCUUUUCAAGGGUUUGUCCCUUUUCAGUAAGAGAGAAAUCAACUAUAGCAGACACUGGGAGGCAGGGUCCACAGCUCUCCCAAGAAUGACAAUAAUGUGAUGGUUUAGGCAUCUGACCCUUACUCAUUGCUCUCUCCAACUCUGUUCCAUUUUGAUAUUAAUUAAAAACAGUUUUAAUCUAAAACCCGUCUAUCAAAAGAAGAACUGCUUGAAGCAAUAUAUGCCUCCUGAAGUCAAUGUCAUGUGACUUUACUCCACUUGAAUUACCUGAAGCAAGACAGUAGUAGUAAUAGCUAUCAUAGUCCAGCUACCAUUUCUUUU